ensembl:lncRNA
AUUCAAGAUGCGCCAGCACCAUCAAAUGUGAAGGAACUACGAGCUUUUUUAGGUUUGGUAAAUUAUUAUGGACGUUUUGUACCACAGCAGAGCACAGUGUUGGCACCACUGUAUAGACUGUUGAAAGAACAAACUGCUUGGUGCUGGGGGAAAAAGGAACAAGGUGCUUUUAGUAGAUGUAAAGAAUUGCUCACCAGUGACAAAGUGCUAGUAUACUAUGAUCCACAACUGCCUUUGACUUUAGCAUGUGAUGCUUCCGCUUAUGGAAUUGGUGCGGUGCUUCAGCACAUCAUGCCAAAUGGUGACGAGCAUCCCAUUGCAUAUGCUUCACGUACUUUGUCCCCUGCUGAAAAGAAAUAUUCACAGAUUGAGAAGGAAGCUUUGAGUGUGAUCUAUGGAGUUAAAAAAUUCCAUCAGUAUCUUUGGGGAAGAUCUUUUAAUUUGAUAACUGAUCAUAGACCAUUAGUGACUCUGUUUGGUGAACAUAAGCAUUUCCCAAUGAUGGCUGCCGCUCGCAUUCAGCGGUGGGCGAUAAUUUUGUCGGCAUAUGAUUAUCAUAUCAUGUAUCGCAAGGCAGAAGAUCAUGGAAAUGCAGAUGGCUUGUCACGAAUUCCAUUACCUGAAAUUACCGAUGUAGGAACAGAAGCCAUUUCAGCAAAUAUCAACACACUUUUGACAAACCAUCUUCAAGAAGCUCCUCUAAAUGCAGCACAGAUUGCCAGAAUGACAAGAACAGAUCAAGAACUUUCUAAAGUGUUUCGUUAUGUCAUGGAAGGUUGGCCAAUUGAAGUGUCAGAUGAUUUGAAAGUAUUCUACGCGAAAAGAGAUGAACUGUCAGUAGAACAGGGAUGUCUGCUAUGGGGCACACGAGUGAUUGUACCAUUCAAAUUUCGAAAAUCAGUGUUACAGGAAAUUCACUCAGGACACCCUGGCAUUGUUAAAAUGAAAGCUCUGACUCGUAAAUACGUGUGGUGGCCUAAAAUUGAUACGGAUAUAGAAAGAGUUUGCAAGGAGUGUCAAAUCUGUCAACAAGAACAAAGAGUGCCAAGUCACGUCCCUCUUCAUCCUUGGGAAUUCCCGGAUUACUUCUCAAGCUACUAUUACCAGAUUGAAGAGAUUGUUUUCUGCAUAUGGAUUACCUGA